AAUUAGGGAUGGCACGUUGUCCUUGUAAAGGGGAUCCAGCAGGGUGGCCACCCAGUAGUUAGCACAAGUUAGAAUGUGGGCAACUUGGCAGUCAUUGCGCAGGCACUUUGGUGACUCUAGAUAACCUUGGGCCAUUCGCACGUCCCCGUGACGGCUACAACGCUUUCGGAUGUCUGCCUUUUUAACUUUCGAUGUUACUUUCUGCGCCUACCAUGGUGACCACGGGUAACGGGGAAUCAGGGUUCGGUUCCG